rnacentral:rRNA from 1 species
UGGGGAAUUUUGCACAAUGGGCGAAAGCCUGAUGCAGCAACGCCGCGUGUGUGAUGAAGGUUUUCGGAUCGUAAAGCACUUUCGACCGGGAAGAAAAACCUCUGGCUAACAUCCAGGGGCCUGACGGUACCGGGAGAAGAAGCACCGGCUAACUCUGUGCCAGCAGCCGCGGUAAUACAGAGGGUGCAAGCGUUGUUCGGAAUUAUUGGGCGUAAAGCGCGUGUAGGCGGCUUGUUAAGUCGGGUGUGAA